rnacentral:rRNA from 1 species
UGCGUAGGCGGAAUAUUAAGUCAGUGGUGAAAUCCUGCGGCUCAACCGUAGAACUGCCAUUGAUACUGAUAUUCUUGAAUGUAGUUGAGGUAGGCGGAAUGUGUAAUGUAGCGGUGAAAUGCUUAGAUAUUACACAGAACACCGAUUGCGAAGGCAACUUACUAAACUAUGAUUGACGCUGAGGCACGAAAGCGUGGGGAGCGAACAGGAUUAGAUACCCUGGUAGUCC